rnacentral:rRNA from 1 species
UAGGGAAUCUUCCGCAAUGGGCGAAAGCUUGACGGAGCAACGCCGCGUGAGUGAUGAAGGUCUUCGGAUCGUAAAACUCUGUUAUUAGGGAAGAACAAAUGUGUAAGUAACUAUGCACGUCUUGACGGUACCUAAUCAGAAAGCCACGGCUAACUACGUGCCAGCAGCCGCGGUAAUACGUAGGUGGCAAGCGUUAUCCGGAAUUAUUGGGCGUAAAGCGCGCGUAGGCGGUUUUUUAAGUCUGAUGUGAAAGCCCACGGCUCAACCGUGGAGGGUCAUUGGAAACUGGAAAACUUGAGUGCAGAAGAGGAAAGUGGAAUUCCAUGUGUAGCGGUGAAAUGCGCAGAGAUAUGGAGGAACACCAGUGGCGAAGGCGACUUUCUGGUCUGUAACUGACGCUGAUGUGCGGAAGCGUGGGGAUCAAACAGG